UAGGGCCCAAGCAAGCCAGGAAGGAGGAGGCAGCCAGAGUGUUCUCUGCAGCAGAAGAGCCCUUGCUGCCCUGCUUAACCCAGACCAGCAUUUGCCAGGCUCCACUGCUACACAGGCAAUGAAUAUAAGUCUCCUGCAACCGAGUUGUCAAAAUUCCCAGUUUUGAGGAUUUUCUCCCACUCUGUGCACACUUAAACAGUAUGGAAUGUUCAUCUAGACAACAGAGGAUAUGUGCACAGACAAGCAAAAUGCACAGGCAAACAAUCCAUUGGAAGUAUGUCGGGAGGAGUGAAGAGGAAAUGUGUGUUGGAUUGAGCAACAAGUCCAUGUGUGUCAGACAUCCACAGGGGCCUGCUCCAAGUUGUCAGGAGUCAAGGUACUUUCCAAGGCUGGGCUUCCAGCCCUGGGCUCUAAAUCUGGGACUCAUGUCCUGGAAGAUGUGAAGCAGGAGAAUGUGUCCAUGUAGGGAAGACACUCCAGCCCCCCUUGUUCAUGUUGGCUGCCUUUUCUGCACCCUUUCCAGCUCUCCAUUGUUCUUUAAUGGAUGACCAGAACUGUACACAGUAUUCCAAAA